UCAAUAUGUUUGGCCGAGUGGUUAAGGCGAAAGACUCGAAUUGAAUAUUUGAUAUCUUUUCUCGUUUCGAGGCGCAGGUUCUAUAUAUUUAACAUGAA